GACGAACGCUGGCGGCGUGCUUAACACAUGCAAGUCGAACGGAAAGGCCCUGCUUUUGUGGGGUGCUCGAGUGGCGAACGGGUGAGUAACACGUGAGUAACCUGCCCUUGACUUUGGGAUAACUUCAGGAAACUGGGGCUAAUACCGGAUAGGAGCUCCUGCUGCAUGGGGGGGGUUGGAAAGUUUCGGCGGUUGGGGAUGGACUCGCGGCUUAUCAGCUUGUUGGUGGGGUAGUGGCUGACCAAGGCUGUGACGGGUAGCCGGCCUGGGAGGGGAGCCGGGGUCAAGAGGCCUGCGGGAGGGCCCAGACGCGAACGGGCCGCAACGGGCGCGAGCAUGACGGAGCAAGGGCGCGUGAGUGACGACAGCUCUCCGAGCGGAAUACCGGGCUUCGGGUGAAGAACAUAUUUCGCAGGAGACGAGCCCAGCGUGACGGUACCGAGUAAGAAAGCAACGGCUAACUACGUG
rnacentral:rRNA from 1 species